AGACAAUUUUAUUAGAAAUUGAUAUUAGUAUGGGAGAAAUUGAGAGCGCUAUUGAGGAACUGAGCUCGGGUAAAUGUCCUGGCGCGGAUGGGAUUACCGCUACAUUUUACAAGGCGUUCAAGACGGAUAUGGUGACAGCGUUCCAUGAGGUAUUUGCAGAGGCGCUCGAGCGGAGGACUUUACCUCCAUCGUUCAAUCGUGCGCACACAGUACUAAUUCCAAAACCCAAACAUAAAUAUAUGCUACUUA
rnacentral:lncRNA from 1 species